UACGGAGGAUCCAAGCGUUACCCGGAUUUAUUGGGCGUAAAGCGUUGCGUAGGUGGUUUGGUAAGUGAGGUAUGAAAUAUCAGGGCUCAACUCUGAAGGUGUAUCUCAAACUACUAAACUUGAGGAUGGUAGAGGCAAGUGGAAUUCCAGGUGUAGGAGUGAAAUCCGUAGAUAUCUGGAGGAACACCAAUGGCGAAGGCAGCUUGCUGGGCCAUUCCUGACACUGAGGCACGAAAGCGUGGGGAGCGAACCGG
rnacentral:rRNA from 1 species